rnacentral:rRNA from 1 species
UACAACGGAGAGUUUGAUCCUGGCUCAGGAUGAACGCUAGCGGCAGGCYUAACACAUGCAAGUCGAACGGUAACAGCAGAGCUUGCUCUGGCUGACGAGUGGCGCACGGGUGCGUAACGCGUAUGCAACUUACCCCAAACUGGAGAAUAGCCUUUCGAAAGGAAGAAUAAUACUCCAUAGUAUUUCAAAGAGGCAUCUCUUUGUUCUUAAAGCUUCGGCGGUUUGGGAUGGGCAUGCGUUCUAUUAGUUAGUUGGUGAGGUAACGGCUCACCAAGACCACGAUAGAUAGGGGGCCUGAGAGGGUUAUCCCCCACACUGGUACUGAGACACGGACCAGACUCCUACGGGAGGCAGCAGUGAGGAAUAUUGCACAAUGGACGAAAGUCUGAUGCAGCCAUGCCGCGUGCAGGAUGAAUGCCCUACGGGUUGUAAACUGCUUUUAUAUGGGAAGAAACGCCUCUACGUGUAGAGGCCUGACGGUACCAUAAGAAUAAGGACCGGCUAACUCCGUGCCAGCAGCCGCGGUAAUACGGAGGGUCCAAGCGUUAUCCGGAUUUAUUGGGUUUAAAGGGUCCGCAGGCGGGAAAAUAAGUCAGUGGUGAAAGCCUACAGCUUAACUGUAGAACUGCCAUUGAUACUGU